rnacentral:rRNA from 1 species
GUGAACGCUGGCGGUAGGCCUAACCCAUGCAAGUCGAACGGCAGCACAGUAAGAGCUUGCUCUUACGGGUGGCGAGUGGCGGACGGGUGAGGAAUACAUCGGAAUCUACUUUUUCGUGGGGGAUAACGUAGGGAAACUUACGCUAAUACCGCAUACGACCUACGGGUGAAAGUAGGGGAUCUUCGGACCUUGCGCGAUUGAAUGAGCCGAUGUCGGAUUAGCUAGUUGGCGGGGUAAAGGCCCACCAAGGCGACGAUCCGUAGCUGGUCUGAGAGGAUGAUCAGCCACACUGGAACUGAGACACGGUCCAGACUCCUACGGGAGGCAGCAGUGGGGAAUAUUGGACAAUGGGCGCAAGCCUGAUCCAGCCAUACCGCGUGGGUGAAGAAGGCCUUCGGGUUGUAAAGCCCUUUUGUUGGGAAAGAAAAGCAGCAGGUUAAUACCCCGCUGUUCUGACGGUACCCAAAGAAUAAGCACCGGCUAACUUCGUG